rnacentral:rRNA from 1 species
UACGUAGGGAGCGAGCGUUGUCCGGAUUUACUGGGUGUAAAGGGUGCGUAGGCGGCUCUGCAGGUCAGAAGUGAAAUCUAUGGGCUUAACCCAUAAACCGCUUUUGAAACUGUGGAGCUUGAGUGAAGUAGAGGUAGGCGGAAUUCCCGGUGUAGCGGUGAAAUGCGUAGAGAUCGGGAGGAACACCAGUGGCGAAGGCGGCCUACUGGGCUUUAACUGACGCUGAGGCACGAAAGCGUGGGUAGCAAACAGG